rnacentral:rRNA from 1 species
UACGUAGGGGGCAAGCGUUGUCCGGAUUUAUUGGGCGUAAAGAGCUCGUAGGCGGUUCCGUAAGUCGUGAAGUCAAAUCUCUGGGCUCAACCCAGAAUCGCUUCCGAUACUGGCGGUGACUGGAGGUCCGGUAGGGGAGUGUGGAAUUCCUGGUGUAGCGGUGAAAUGCGCAGAUAUCAGGAGGAACACCAACAGCGAAGGCAGCACUCUGGGCCGGUACUGACGCUGGAGGAGCGAAAGCAUGGGGAGCAAACAGG